rnacentral:sRNA from 1 species
CUGGAGGUCAGAGCACGAAGGUUUUGGAGCAGAGGGACUUUAGAGCUGUGAUUUGAGUCGGGAGAACGUUCGCAAAGUGUUUUCGAAAGGCUAGCUAAGGAGAAAACCAAGUUGUUGUUAUGUCGGUGGAGCAAGCUUUAGAUGGAGGAUCAACGGAAGCUUAGUUAUAAGAAUGAGCCUUAUAAUUUUUAGUCUAUGUUUUAAGUGUGAACUGUAUUUUAGUUUGAAUUAUGAGUGAGGGUUUGCAUAAUAAUGAGGAAAAUUGUUAUUCCUCCUCCUAUCAACUGUUCUAUGGUAUCAAUGAUGUAAGAACUCUAUUAUAGUUUAAUGCUAUAAUAAUUG